rnacentral:tRNA from 1 species
CUAAGAGAAAGAAAUUAUUAUAAGGCAAAUUAUUAUUUUAACUCUUCCUUUGUCUUUUCAAAGACUUUUUUGGGGGUUUAGCUCAGUUGGUUUAGAGCAUCGGCUUUGCAAGCCGGGGGUCAAGGGUUCGAAUCCCUUAACCUCCAUUUGUUUAUUGUAAAAUUGAAUAAAUGGAGGUUAUAGCUUUUAAAGAGCAACUUGUGUUGUAUCAAUUGAAAGCUAGCUUCAAAAAUUAAAAAAAAUCCUAUUAAAAUUUUGAUUUCCAGAUAAAAUAUUUUUUUGUUUAAUAAUUUAACUAGAGUAAAUUCUCAUUUACAAGAUAAGCAAUAUAAAAAAUAAGGGUGUUACUUAUUUAUUUUAUUUAAGUUAUUUUAAAAUUUUUUAGCUUGUAGGAAAUAAUUUUACUUUAUGCAAAUUUUAAGAUAUUUAAUGUUCUUAUUUGUUUUAAGUGAAUAAAUAUAAUAUAUGGUUUGAUAUUUCAGGUCAUGGGUUUAUAUUACUUGUUGUCUUGAUGGUUUUAGUGAUAAAUUUAAAUAGACUUAACAGAUUUUUAUUGCAUACGACAAGCUUGAUUUCAGCUCAAAAAUGUACCUUUAAUUAUUUUGUUGAGAUUACUAAAUGCUUAAGAGGGUUUGAGUUUGAUCGAU